GUAAGAGGUGGAGUCUGUGGCAUUUCCGGCAGGGCCCAGGCCCUCUCAAGCAGCAGAAUCAGGCCCCAAGCGACAUGCAACCCCUUACACCCCACAACCAAGCUACCAUAUCAUCUUCCCAGUGCUAGACCCAGGUGGGAAAGAUGGUUGGGGGGUCGGGUGGGGGUGUCCACCAUCCUUUCCUCCUGUGCUCUCCUUCCCAGGCCCCCCAUAGCCCAGGCUCUGGUGUUGCCUGUUCCCCGUGAGUUAUCUCCCCGUUUAGCUGCAUUUCCGUUGGCGCCUGCCCUACUCUAGGGAGAGCAGAGAUUUAAGGGCUGUGGUGCUUUGUUACUUGUGCUAGAGAUUUUCUCGCAUAAAACCCACCCAGGGAAUGGUUUUGGAGAACGAGAGAGAUUUGUAGUCCUAGGCUGAACAGAAAGCCACAAAUCCAGAGGGCCGGCAGUGUGGCAGUGGGGCUGGGACUUAGGUAGAUCCCAGAGGCUCCCCACUUCCUGCCUCAGGGUCAGGUCCCUUCCCAUGCCCAGGGUGGGGUGGGGUGGGGUGGGGCAGGGCAGGGCAGGGCAGAGCAGGCAGCCCAGGAACCUUGCUCCUUUGGGAUGAGUGCUGGCAGUGAAUGAGGCCUGGUUCUGAGGAUUCUGUUGCUCCCUUGUACCUGAUCUCAGCCAGCCAGAGAUGCCAUUCACUGAAGAAAGGGAGCCUUGGAUGGGGAUACUCCUCAGGAUGUCCCUGGAUGUCCCCGUCGGCUUCUUGUGGCCCCUUUGCCCACCAUUUUCUUUCUGUUUCCAGUUUGCAGGACAUGGUGACAAAAUAUC
rnacentral:lncRNA from 1 species